GUUGUGGUUCAGUGGUAGAGAGCACUUGCUUAGCAUGUGGGAGGCUCUGGGUUCAAUUCUCAGCACAACA
rfam:Ictidomys tridecemlineatus contig045786, whole genome shotgun sequence.